AUCAGAGAGAAAUAAGGACUUAUGACCAUUAGACCAGGAGACAGGAAGCGAUGGUUCUGGAAGGGGCUCUGUUACUAACUUUGGAAUUCAACUGUCCAGAUAGAAAGGUGGACAUGGAAAAAUUGGGCUUUGCAAAUGGUCACCCAAUUCUUGCCUUCCUGGUCUCCAGAUCACCCUUCCUAUACCGCCACUCUGGAGAAAGAAGUACAGAACGCUAACAAGCUAGAUACAGAGGACCUAACAUACAACUCAGAGUCCCUAGAAGAUGGAGAAAACACAGACAAUUGGCAGAGGAGAUGAGCAUGUGAUUAUUGUUACCACUUGUCUGGAAGCAACCAGAAUGGAGUGGGGAAGACUCAAGGAGGAGAUCUUCACAGGACUCACCUCUCAUCACAGCUCCCGUGUGGUUGUAAUCACCCCAGAGGGAAAAAUAAUUUCGGUUUUUUAUGGUUUAAUUAUUGGUGAUAGCAGCUGUUUUGAAGACACAAACACAGAAGCAAGUUCUAGAACAUACUCACAGUUUCCUUGGUCACAGUGUUGUCAGUGGUUCUAUAAAGGUCUUAUGAAUCUCUACUUAGUUGACCACAAGUAGUAAGCAAGAAACAAUCCUGUAAAGAGAAUGGAGGUCAGAAUAAAGAAGCCUUGAGGGUUUAAAUCGCUUCUUGAAAAGAAAUGCCCGUGUGUCAAGGAGCUAAGGGAGACCAGCCCAGGAGGAGCUGAAUCCUGCCAACAAUCACUUGAGUGAACUUGAGAGUGAAUCCUCUCCAUGUUAAGCCUUGAGGUGAUUGUAGCUCCAUCAAAUACCUUCAUUGUAGCCUUGUGAGAGAUCUGAGUCAGAGGAUGGAGUUAAGCCAAGCCCAGAUUCCAGACCCUCAGAAACUUGAAAGCGGAAUACCUGGUUAUCCGGAGGUCACUGUCUCCACACAGAGUGGUGUCCUUGAUGCUAGCUUGGGGCAAAGAAGCCAGGCAAUCAAGGCUUUAAAUGCGUGGAUUUAUCAUCACCUCAAAUCGCCUGUCACUGUGAUGGAACAAAAAUAGAAAGUUGGGCUAAUAUCUUCCUGCUAGCAUGUUUCCAUCUGUGAGUUUGAUCAAAGCAACUUUAUCUGCGAAAUUUUGAAGAAUCAGCUUCAUCUCCACUUGGCAGCAUGUGGUAAAUGAAGGUAUUUCUGGAAAUCCCAUCUUCCCAGAAUUCAGCUAGGAUCCAGAAGUGAUGCUGUUACGUGACGUCUUCAACCUCCCUCCCUCUGCCCAUCUCAGGGACCUCUCCAGAAGCCAGUCCCAAGAGUGGCAUUGGUUAGCAUAUCUCAAAUACAGUGGGAGAAGCCUCUUAGCUCAGCUCCAGUUAUUUCUCUAUUGUAGAAAACCAAGAGAGAGAUGAAUAAGGAAUGAAAACAUACUCCACAUGGACUCAAUAAAUCUUGGGUGAAAUGAUGCUGUCUGACAAGGUAAAUAAAAAAUGCAGCACUCAAGCACCAGCACUGGGGAUGAGAUGAGGACACACCAAUUACCAGCACUUCUGCCUGCUUUGCUUUGUUGACA
rnacentral:lncRNA from 1 species